GACGAACGCUGGCGGCGUGCUUAACACAUGCAAGUCGAGCGGAGCGGCGAACGGGUGAGUAACGCGUGAGUAUCUGCCACCCUCUCUUGGAUGCCAGUUUGAAACGGCUGCUAAUACCGGAUAGUGGGGGAUGACUCGCGUCCUAUCAGCUUGUUGGUGGGGUAGUGGCCUACCAAGGCGACGCCGGGUAGCCGGCCUGGGAGGGCGACCGUCCACAUUGGGCUGAGAUACGGCCCAAACUGCUACGUUGGUCAGCAGUGGGGAGUAUGGCACAAUGGGGGAAACCCUGAUGCAGCAAUUCGCGUUCGGAAUGUCGGCCUUCGGGUUGUAAACCGCUUUCAGCCAUUACGCGGUAGUGGCAGAAGAAGCACCGGCUAACUACGUGCCAGCAGCCGCGGUAAUUC
rnacentral:rRNA from 1 species